rnacentral:rRNA from 1 species
GACGUAGGGUCCAAGCGUUGUCCGGAUUUAUUGGGCGUAAAGCGCGCGCAGGUGGUUCGCUAAGUCCGGUGUGAAAUCUCCCGGCUCACCUGGGAGGGUGCGCUGGAGACUGGCGGACUGGAGGCAGGCAGAGGUCGGUGGAAUUCCCGGUGUAGUGGUGAAAUGCGUAGAGAUCGGGAGGAACACCAGUGGCGAAGGCGGAGACCUGGGCCAAUACUGACGCUGAGGUGCGAAAGCGUGGGGAGCAGACAGG